rnacentral:rRNA from 1 species
GGAACCACCUGAUCCCAUCCCGAACUCAGCAGUGAAACGAUGCAUCGCCGAUGGUAGUGUGGGGUUUCCCCAUGUGAGAGUAGGUCAUCGUC